UUGCGCCCCACUCCGGCGUGCCUAAUGCACUUCGGCCAUGGCAGUCGUUGCCACCUGACUCUAUCCUCGGGAUCUCAUCCUACUGUCCUGGAUCGGGGCAGCAGUGGCGAUUUGGAUCCGGGCGGCGGCGGCUGAGCAAGGGCAUCGGUGCUGUCUAGGUACAUAUCUUCCCUCUCUCCCUUCCUCCCUCCCUCUCUCUGCCCCGCCGGGGUCGCUGUGAGCCCGUGACGGUGGACUGGUGGGGAACUCCGGUGGAACGGCAAGGGGACAGCGAGGAACGGCAAGCACGGGUGCUCUGCUGGCGGAGGCAUGUUUUGGGGACGGGGAGACCUCCGGCCGUGGGGAAUGAAGAGAGCUUUGGAUGCAAACUGAAUUUCAUCUCUCUUUGUUCUUUUUUCUGCUGAUGGCACAGAAGAACAUUGGUAAUGUUGAGCUGGCAAAGAGAAGUAGCAGACUAAUUUCUAUGUCGACUAGAUGAUGAUUUGCUCCCUGUAUGUGGUUUCCUCUGUAUUCUUUAUAUGAUGUUAUUUUGUGAUCCUUGAGUACGGAAAUAGCAUGGUGUGCAGCGUUGCCCUUGUGAGCAAUCUCUGAUGCUACUGAUGUUUAUAUAUGUAUUACUUAUGACACUAGGAUUCAAUCCUCACCGAAGAUUGAAUUCCAUCUUCUUGGUUAGAAUGCACAAAGGAUUUGAAUUGUGAAUCUUGCAAGGACAUUUAUUUUGUGAAAUUUAACAUGACUAAUUUGAGACCAGCAAAGAGGAUUGGGCCCGAAGAAAUGCUGAUAUUGAGCUAGGUUCGCAAGGCGAUAUGUCGAGCUCUGUGUAGCCUGCUUUCAAUGGCUUAUUUAAACAGCUCUGUGCUAUCAUAGAAUUCAGCUUAGGGAGAUCAAGAAGAUGUUUCAUAUGUCAGCACAACUACUGGAGGAUUUGCAGGUGAGGAACUAUUAUAUGAGUUUGGAUGACCAAAUAUUAGUAGUACAUCAAAAUCUACGGCUUUAUAUAGUUUGUCACAUACUGUCUUAUUUCAUAUAUGAUGACCAUAUCAAUCAAGUGUUUGUUAUUUUUCAUUCAGAGUGUACAUUGAUUCCAGUGUAGCAAGAACAGAAAAUAAGGUGUCGUCGGUGAAAAGAAGCAUGCCCAAAUUUGUAAGCCCAUAUUGUGCCACAUGGAACUUUCUCUAUCAGUUCAGGCUGGAUGGGCAAGACGACAUACUGCAGACCGGGACCAAGAGUUAUGUUCAUUAUCAGUGAUAUGUGUUAAUACUCUCCUAGAGAUUGAUUUUUUUGCGAUCGCAAAAAAAGGAGCCAGAUACAUGGCGAGCUUCCAAAUAUCAAGUUGCAAGUACCUUCGUUGCUUUGGACCUUGCCAUGGAAGGAUGAACACUAAAUGACCACAAAAUGCCUCUAGAUU